rnacentral:rRNA from 1 species
GCGCGAAAACUUUACAAUGCCGGCAACGGCGAUAAGGGGACCUCGCGUGCCAGGUUACAAAUCUGGCUGUCGCGAUGCCUAAAAAGCAUUGCAUAGCAAGGGCCGGGCAAGACCGGUGCCAGCCGCCGCGGUAACACCGGCGGCUCGAGUGGUAACCGUUAUUAUUGGGUCUAAAGGGUCCGUAGCCGGCCGGGUAAGUCUCUUGGGAAAUCCAGCAGCUUAACUGUUGGGCUUUCAGGAGAUACUGCCUGGCUCGAGGCCGGGAGAGGUGAGAGGUACUUCAGGGGUAGGGGUGAAAUCUUGUAAUCCUUGAAGGACCACCAGUGGCGAAGGCGUCUCACCAGAACGGACCUGACGGCAAGGGACGAAAGCUAGGGGCACGAACC